UACGUAGGUCCCGAGCGUUGUCCGGAUUUAUUGGGCGUAAAGCGAGCGCAGGUGGUUUAUUAAGUCUGGUGUAAAAGGCAGUGGCUCAACCAUUGUAUGCAUUGGAAACUGGUAGACUUGAGUGCAGGAGAGGAGACUGGAAUUCCAUGUGUAGCGGUGAAAUGCGUAGAUAUAUGGAGGAACACCGGUGGCGAAAGCGGCUCUCUGGCCUGUAACUGACACUGAGGCUCGAAAGCGUGGGGAGCAAACAGG
rnacentral:rRNA from 1 species